rnacentral:rRNA from 1 species
UACAGAGGUCCCAAGCGUUGUUCGGAAUUACUGGGCGUAAAGGGCUCGUAGGCGGCCAACUAAGUCGGACGUGAAAUCCCUCGGCUUAACCGGGGAACUGCGUCCGAUACUGGAUGGCUCGAGUGUGGGAGAGGGAUGCGGAAUUCCAGGUGUAGCGGUGAAAUGCGUAGAUAUCUGGAGGAACACCGGUGGCGAAGGCGGCGUCCUGGACCAAUACUGACACUGAGUGAGCGAAAGCCAGGGGAGCAAACGGG